rnacentral:rRNA from 1 species
AGUGAACGCUGGCGGUAGGCCUAACACAUGCAAGUUGAACGGCAGCACAGUAAGAGCUUGCUCUUACGGGUGGCGAGUGGCGGACGGGUGAGGAAUACAUCGGAAUCUACUUUUUCGUGGGGGAUAACGUAGGGAAACUUACGCUAAUACCGCAUACGACCUACGGGUGAAAGCGGGGGAUCUUCGGACCUUGCGCGAUUGAAUGAGCCGAUGUCGGAUUAGCUAGUUGGCGGGGUAAAGGCCCACCAAGGCGACGAUCCGUAGCUGGUCUGAGAGGAUGAUCAGCCACACUGGAACUGAGACACGGUCAAGACUCCUACGGGAAGCAGCAGUGGGGAAUAUUGGACAAUGGGCGCAAGCCUGAUCCAGCCAUACCGCGUGGGUGAAGAAGACCUUCGGGUUGUAAAGCCCUUUUGUUGGGAAAGAAAAGCAGCAGGUUAAUACCCCGCUGUUCUGACGGUACCCAAAGAAUAAGCACCGGCUAACUUCGUG